rnacentral:lncRNA from 1 species
CAACAGAUCUCAAAACUCGUGGGAUAAACACAUAGAGCUGGAGGCAACCUUUGACAGUUUUCAUUCUCAAGCUAGAUUGGGUUAGUUUCAUGGUAGAGCUAUUGGAGUUGAUAUUUGUUAAGCUUUGGCCUGCAUUGCAACAAAAGACCAGCAGUAAAAUUCAGCUCUGUCAAGCAGCAGCAUUGUUCUGAAGUGAAGAAAUGAAGCUGGUCCGAAUGCAGCAACUUAUUUUGAGUGUUUUGUUCCUAUGUAACUUUGUCUAGUUCUUUUGUAAUUUGACAGCAAAGUUAGUAGGAUGAUUUGAUUGAUUUGUGUUGAUGUAAUAGCUAGUAUGUUAGCUUUCUUUUAUGUACAAGUUAAGCAUGUUUUUGUUUAUGUAUUAAGUGGGAGCAGUUAACUAUUUGGUAACUAUCCAAUUAC